rnacentral:rRNA from 1 species
AUACGUAGGGUGCAAGCGUUAAUCGGAAUUACUGGGCGUAAAGCGUGCGCAGGCGGUUUUGUAAGACAGUGGUGAGAUCCCCGGGCUCAACCUGGGAACCGCCAUUGUGACUGCAAGGCUGGAGUGCGGUAGAGGGGGAUGGAAUUCCGCGUGUAGCAGUGAAAUGCGUAGAUAUGCGGAGGAACACCGAUGGCGAAGGCAAUCCCCUGGGCCUGCACUGACGCUCAUGCACGAAAGCGUGGGGAGCAAACAGGAUUAGAUACCCUGGUAGUCCACGCCCUAAACGAUGUCAACUGGUUGUUGGGGAUUUAUUUUCUCAGUAACGAAGCUAACGCGUGAAGUUGACCGCCCGGGGAGUACGGCCGCAAGGUUAAAACUCAAAUGAAUUGACGG